GGGUCUCGCUAUGCAGUUCAGGCUGGCCUUGGGUUCACUUUAUAGCCCAGGCUGGUCUCCAACUUGCAGCAACGAUCCUCCCAUCUCAGCCUCCCGAGCGCUGGGAUUACAGAAGUGCGCCAUUACACCCUGCAAUAACAGAAAGAAUGGCUGUUGUCAUGAUAUCAAGCAAUAACAAAUGCUGGUGGAGCUGCAGGGGAAAAGGAACUCUUCUCCACUGUUGGUGGGAGUAUAAACUGGUGCAACUACUAUGGAAAUCAGUGUGAAGAUUCUUCAAAAAACUAGGAUUGCAGAUUCCAUUCAUUCCAGCUACCCCCCUUCUGGGUAUUUUCCCAGAAGAAUUAAAAACAUCAUACCACAACAAUGUAUGUGUACCCAUGUGUAUAGCAGCAUAAUUUUUAAUAGCUAAAUCUUGGAAACAGCCCAAAUGCUCGUGACCACAGAAUGGAUUAAAAAGAGGUGGUAUUUUUAUACAAUGAAGUAUUAUUCAGCUAUAAGAAGGAUAAAGUUGAGGCUUUCAUAGGUAAAAGGAUGCAACUUGAGACCAUACUCAUAAGUGAAAUAAACCAGGCUCAUAUGUGUAAAUAUUGCAUUGUCUCCUUAGUAUUAAAAAAAUUGAAAGAGUAGAUAAGAUCCAAAAUGUAUGAUAAAUAUUGUGAAAAUGAAAGUAGUUCUGUACAAAGAAAGUACAGAACUGUACAUUUAGUUCUGUACAAAGAAAGUGCUCAAAAGGAAAGAACAACUGGGAUAGGGAAUGGAGAAAGGAAAGAAGGGAGAAGAUAUGUGCAGAUGUAUAUGCAUGUAUGUGUGUGUACAUGUAUGCAAGACAUAACUAUACUAAUCUCUUUGUUAGUUCAUCAAAAAGAACAGUUUGUGUUUUCAUUGUUUGACUGUUCGAUAAUUUUUUCAUACCUAAGUCUUAUAAUUGGAACAACUACUUUGAAGAUAACAAUAUAUUAAUUAGUGUUAAUUCCCUAUUAUUUUGUUUUGAAAUUCUGUAUCAUUGUAUCUUUUUUGUUUUAUAAAAUAAAAAAGAAAUUAAUCAUA